AACUGGGCAGAGGGAUCCUUCUCCCACCACUGCUGGGUGAUGAACCACAGCAGGCAUGUUUUUCUGCUCCAUGAGAGAGGCAAGCAUGGGAAACAGACACAAAGGAACCUGUAGCCACUGAGUCUGGCCUGCCCAGGAUCUUGUGGUAUAGAAGGGCAGUUAAUCUCAGCCCACGUUGAUAAAAGGAGGUAUGCAGGUAAACAACCUACUUUUGCUUCCCUGCUUUGGUCCUUUGCUUCUCUGCUGUGCUCUGCUGUUGCCUGUUGCAAUUGCCUACUGCCUUAUUGCUUGCCUGCUAAACUCCACUGCCGUGAGUUACCAGGAGCAGACCCUGAAUGCCUGCAUGCAAUCAGCCUAUGUGGUCAGCGUGACCUUGUGCUGAGACUGCCCCACAUCUGCCUCGACACCUGAUUGUCCAGAAGAAGCCCGGAGAACAGAGUCGGAGAUUGUUUGCCUCUUUCUGCAGAAGCAGGGAAGAUUCAAGUCUCAAUGUCCAACAAGACAGAGUCCUCUGAAAGCUUUUGGACACUGUCAGGGUUGUGGCUAGCCCCUGCAAGUUGGGUAAUAAUAAUAAUUUGUGAGUAAAUGCUUAAAUGCCUCUUUGUAAUUCUUCAUUGCCUUCUGCCAUAAGCAGAAAGAGCUGCUUGAGCCCAUCUACUGGGCAAGCAGCAUUUGACUGUGGGAUUUUUUUUCUUCCAGUUCAAUGGAUGUUUCUAUAUUUUGCUGGUUAUUUCUAGCUCUUGAUAUUAUCCAUAAAAUGUUUCCAUGACCAUGUAAGAACCAAAAUUGCAAGAGUUCUGGAUAUCAAAAUUAAUAAACAAGAAUCAUUUUGGAAA